rnacentral:miRNA from 1 species
AUAGAGAGCCACUUAGGAGUCUGG